GACGAACGCUGGCGGCGUGCUUAACACAUGCAAGUCGAACGGAAAGGCCCUGCUUUUGUGGGGUGCUCGAGUGGCGAACGGGUGAGUAACACGUGAGUAACCUGCCCUUGACUUUGGGAUAACUUCAGGAAACUGGGGCUAAUACCGGAUAGGAGCUCCUGCUGCAUUGUGGGGGUUGGAAAGUUUCGGCGGUUGGGGAUGGACUCGCGGCUUAUCAGCUUGUUGGUGGGGUAGUGGUUUACCAAGGCUUUGACGGGUAGCCGGCCUGAGAGGGUGACCGGCCACAUUGGGACUGAGAUACGGCGCAGACUCCUACGGGAGGCAGCAGUGGGGAAUAUUGCACAAUGGGAGGAAGCCUGAUGAAGCAACGCCGCGUGCGGGAUGACGGCCUGCGGGUUGUAAACAGCUGUCGCCUGUGACGAAGCGUGAGUGACGGUAAUGGGUAAAGAAGCACCGGCUAACUACGUG
rnacentral:rRNA from 1 species